GAUGAACGCUGGCGGCGUGCCUAAUACAUGCAAGUCGAGCGAACAGACGAGGAGCUUGCUCCUCUGACGUUAGCGGCGGACGGGUGAGUAACACGUGGAUAACCUACCUAUAAGACUGGGAUAACUUCGGGAAACCGGAGCUAAUACCGGAUAAUAUAUUGAACCGCAUGGUUCAAUAGUGAAAGACGGUUUUGCUGUCACUUAUAGAUGGAUCCGCGCCGCAUUAGCUAGUUGGUAAGGUAACGGCUUACCAAGGCAACGAUGCGUAGCCGACCUGCGAGGGUGAUCGGCCACACGGGAACUGAGACACGGUCCAGACUCCUACGGGAGGCAGCAGUAGGGAAUCUUCCGCAAUGGGCGAAAGCCUGACGGAGCAACGCCGCGUGAGUGAUGAAGGUCUUCGGAUCGUAAAACUCUGUUAUUAGGGAAGAACAAAUGUGUAAGUAACUAUGCACGUCUUGACGGUACCUAAUCAGAAAGCCACGGCUAACUACGUG
rnacentral:rRNA from 1 species